rnacentral:rRNA from 1 species
UCCUCAUUCCAGUGAAAAAUGCCCUAGAACAGUAAAAAUGGAGCAGGUAUCAGGCACAACUAAUAGCCCAAGACACCAAGCUUUGCCACACCCACACGGGCCAUCAGCAGUGAUAAACAUUAAGCAAUAAGCGAACACACCUAACCUACUUUUAAAGCUUGACUUAGUUAUGAUUUAAUAGGGCCGGUAAACCUCGUGCCAGCCACCGCGGUUAUACGAGGGGCCCAAAGAAGCAGACACUCGGCGUAAAUAGUGGUUAGAAUCUAUGCCAAACACUAAAAAUUAAACCAUAUCCUGGACGUAAAACAAAGGAUAGAUGAAACCAAACAUUUUUAAAAACAGGCAAUUUGACCCACGAAAACUAAGAAACAAACUAGGAUUAGAUACCCUACUAUGCUUAGUCGUUAAUAAGAUAUUACUCUACUAAAAUAUCCGCCAGAAAACUACGAGCGAAAAGCUUAAAACUCAAAGGACUUGGCGGUGCUCCAUACCGACUUAGAGGAGCCUGUCCUAUAAUCGAUACUCCACGAUAAACCUUACCAGUCUUUGCCCAAUCAGCCUAUAUACCGCCGUCACCAACCUACCUCAUGAGAGAAAAAUAGUAGGUGUAAAAGCCCAACAGCUAAAACGUCAGGUCAAGGUGUAGCUAAUAGACUGGAAGAGAUGGGCUACAUUUUUUAAUAUAAAAUAUAACGGCACGGUACAAUGAAAUUUCUACCCAAAGGAGGAUUUAAUAGUAAAAUUAACAAGAAAGUUAAUUUUAAACACG